rnacentral:rRNA from 1 species
UACAGAGGGUGCGAGCGUUGUCCGGAAUCACUGGGCGUAAAGGGCGCGUAGGCGGCCGAUCAAGUCGGGGGUGAAAGCCUGUGGCUCAACCACAGAAUUGCCUUCGAUACUGUUUGGCUUGAGACCGGAAGAGGUAAGUGGAACUGCGAGUGUAGAGGUGAAAUGCGUAGAGAUGUGGAGGAACACCAGUGGCGAAGGCGACUCUUUGGCCUGUAACUGACGCUGAGGCGCGAAAGCGUGGGGAGCAAACAGG